AUCAAAAUUCUAAAUAAAGUCGUUGCUAUUGCCACUGCAUAUAGUUUCAGAUAAGACAAAUCAAUCAGAUUGUAACUAGUUAAAAAGUAGCUGGAAAUAGUGGAGGUGAAAGUCCUAUAGAACUCAGUCUCUCUAUUUAUAUCCUCCCAUAUUCUUCCUUAUCUAUGAAGCUUCAGUUGAAGAGUAAUAAAGAAAGAAACAAAGAAAAGUUCCCGAGAAGAUGAUGAAGAAUUCAAAGGCUUAAGCAUACAAGCAAAAACCAUUCACCUCUACAUAUUGAGUACUAUAUGUAUAUAAUUAUCCUGCGCCAGUAAUAGUUGAAGCUGCCAGCAUGAUCUGGAGCUUUUCUAUCCAGGAGAGACUAGAUCAUGUGGCAGUUUCACCUGUUGAUGGUAGCAUGAAAAGAAACCCUAAUCGGCAUAAACCCUAGUUUCCUUUUCCGAUCUAUUUCUCAUUCCCCACUCGAGCUUUUAUCAUGGAAAUACUCUAGAUCAUGAUCAGGCACCGGAGUUCUUUUGAGGACCAUCAUGUACAUGUACGUGCCCACAAAUUGUAAGGCACUGUUUUCUGUCCACCUUGGACCAUGGCUAUCUUUUUCGUUUUCCAAGCAAUUCAGCCUGAACUUCGUAUAUAUCAAAAAUGUGGUACCAACUCUUUGUGAAAUAGACACAACAAAAACAACUGGAAUGAGUUUGAACAUUAUCUUUUAACCAAACUUUCAUAUUUUUUUUUCAAGUAGAUGAUGGUUUCUGUGGUCUAAAUAAAUCAAAACAAACGAAUGGCUCUUUGUUUCUAGUAUGUUUGGUCUCAUUUAAUAUAUAUCAAAUUCUUUUAUUUC